rnacentral:misc_RNA from 1 species
AUGUAUAUAUCCAUUAACACAAUAACCAUGAAGUAUGUGUGCAUUGUGAUCAAGACAUUUUGACAAACACGGAAAUCGUUGUGUGUUGACCAUGCAGAAUGAAGAAAACGGAAACAGUUUGACUUCAACCAACUCUGAACUAAAAUUGUGUUCUGUUGAUUUUUUUUUAAGAACAAAAAAAAGGCAUCUUUUUUAACUUGAAGAUGUGUGGCUUUGGUUCAGAUCGCAAUGAAAGGGAUUCGGAAAGUCGUCAUCUGUUUGAUUUAUUGUAUGGUUUUAUUUUUACUGUAGAUUAUCAUCAACUUUCAUUUACCAUUUGUGAAUGUGUAUUCUGUGAUUAAUUAGAUGAUAUGAAAUUGAAUAAAAAAAAAUGUAUGGU